rnacentral:rRNA from 1 species
AGGGCACCACCAGGAGUGGAGCCUGCGGCUUAAUUUGACUCAACACGGGAAAACUCACCCGGCCCGGACACUGGAAGGAUUGACAGAUUGAGAGCUCUUUCUUGAUUCAGUGGGUGGUGGUGCAUGGCCGUUCUUAGUUGGUGGAGUGAUUUGUCUGGUUAAUUCCGAUAACGAACGAGACUCUAGCCUAUUAAAUAGAUCGUUGGCUUACAAACGCCGGCGAGACUUCUUAGAGGGACAGGCGGCGAUUCAGCCGCACGAAACAGAGCAAUAACAGGUCUGUGAUGCCCUUAGAUGUCCGGGGCCGCACGCGCGCUACACUGAAGUGAUCAGCGUGCAUUUUGAAACCUACUCUGUCAAGAGUGGGGAACCCAAUGAACCUUCUUCGUGAUUGGGAUAGGGGAUUGUAAUUAUUCCCCUUGAACGAGGAAUUCCCAGUAAGCGCGAAUCAUAGGUUUGCGCUGAUUACGUCCCUGCCCUUUGUACACACCGCCCGUCGCUACUACCGAUUGAAUGUUU